CCCUUGGUCCAAAGCACUUGCUUCAAGUAAUAAGCACUUUUGUUCGAGCAUGAGUCUGGAUUCCCUUUAGCAUCCCAUGGGAUAAGAGAGCAACCAAGAGCGGAAGGGAGACGAGAGUGUCUUUGGGUUUAUAUUUUUUUCACUUUUUAAGUUUAAAAGAGAGGAAAACCCACAUAAAAAAAAAAAAAAAAAAACCAGAAAAACCAACAAAACCCAGAAAAAGCAGCUUGUUUUGAGGGAGUGAAUGAGCAAAGGGAAAGGUGUGUUUCUGCGCGAGAGGAUUCCAAACCGAACAGCACAACUCCAUUUCAAAUCCGAGGUGGAUUUGCACUGCCACUGCUUGAGCACGGGGCCGGCAGCCCCGCGGCCCCGCUGAGCCAUAGAAACUGCUGACAAACACUGAAUGUAACGGCCGGGGGGGCCAAAAGGGGGGCUCGGCCUCCGUUGGGCACUGAAUGAAAUUCACCCUCCCAACGCUGAACCCGGGGGGGGGUCGGUUCGUUGUUGCUGGGCCCGAGCUGCAGGUGAUGUGAAACGUGGAUCUCUAGAUGGUUCCCCCCCCCCCCCCCCAUUCCCUUCUCCUCCCCUCGUCCUGCCCCGGGAUGGAGCGAGAUGGACCCUGAGCAUCUCCCUCAGCCCCAUCCCAGGGCUGGAGUGAGGUAGAUGGUAAAGUAGCACUAAAAGCAAAGCAAACCACCCCCCCCCCAAAAAAAAACCACGGAGCAAGGUUGAUGUUCCUGUUUGUUCUGACCGCUCGGAGCGAGGUGUUAGUGAGGAAUGAGAGAGACCCCGACACAACAACCCCCCCCCGGGACCCCAAAUGAAUCCUGGUGUUGGGGGGGGAGCUCCCGCUCCAUCCCGAGGGUCCCGUGGACCACAAAUGGGGGGACCUCAAUGGGAAUGUCGGGUGGGAUCCGGGCAGGCUCCCCUUUGCCUUCAGUAAGAAACCAAAGGAAAAACCAACCCCUUCCACUCCCGGCCACGCGGAUUUGGGGUUUUUUUCCUUCUUUUCCUUUCCUUCUUCCCCCCCCCCCUCCUUUUGUUUCUCUAUUUCUCUCCAAGGACACGAGGAGCUGUUCAAACCUCUUCUCCUGGCCCAAUCCUGCCGGGCUCAGCAGUGCUGGGUGCGUUUGCAAGGAGAAAACCCCCCCCAAAACCAACCGAGCCGGGAGGAGGCGGAAGCAUCAGCUUUGGAACGGGGAGGCGGAGGGUAACGUGUGUGCCCAGCUCGCAGCAUCGGGGCUCUGUAGUUAAACAUCCUCGGAUGAGGCUGGAGCGGGAUGGAGCCGGAGCACCCGAGGGUGGGGAAAGGGGGGGGCUGCAUCCCUAAGGACUUUGAAGGCAUCUUGUAGCGAGCUCUGUGUCUUUACGAUAUCCUGUGUGUAAAUGCUGCACCUCUGUAUAUUCUGCACGUCAACGUGUGUCUCGAAGCUAGGACAGACCUCACCACCCGUCAGGUAGCAACGACUCUCCCUCUGCCGUGUCGUCGUGUGCGUGCAAAGCGGUUUCGUGUGCGGGUCCGUGUGUCCGGGCGGUGGCUGCGUGUCCCGAGCAGGGGCCAAGGAGGGGAAACACAAGAGGAACAAAGCCUUACUCGACCCAGUCGUUAUCGAUAUUGUUCGUCAACUUGAAAAUAAUAAAGUGAAACGCAUGGAAACCUCGA
ensembl:lncRNA